rnacentral:rRNA from 1 species
UACAGAGGUCUCAAGCGUUGUUCGGAUUCAUUGGGCGUAAAGGGCGCGCAGGCGGCUGCUCAAGUCAGGCGUGAAAGGCCUGGGCUCAACCCGGGAAUUGCGCUUGAGACUGGGCUGGCUUGAGUGCGGGAGAGGAUGGUGGAAUUCCCAGUGUAGAGGUGAAAUUCGUAGAUAUUGGGAAGAACACCGAUGGCGAAGGCAGCCAUCUGGACCGACACUGACGCUGAGGCGCGAAAGCGUGGGGAGCAAACAGG